rnacentral:lncRNA from 1 species
CAAAAAACAAACAAAGGGUAGUAUAAAUAUAAGCCCCACUUACGAAUAAAACUAAAAUAUUUUCACAAUGUCUUUAACCGUUUACAUUAUCUAUGCCAUUGCAUUGGCAGGUCUUGUAGAUUAAUUUGGGCCAUCAAGUCAAAAUCAUGUAAGGACCAGGAAAUACGCUUAGUUAAUAAACCACAAGAAACACAAAAAACAGUUUUUCAUCUUUACAAAGAAUCGUAUGAGCAAAUUUUUCUCCGAACAGUGUCGUAACACAUGUGUUAGUAUUGACGAAAAAUCAAUGGAAUUAAAAUUGAUCGAUUGUUAUGGAAGUUAUGGAUAUAAAGAAUUUUGGUAUAAUCGACUUUAAGUCUUUAAUUUUUGGAAUGUGCUAAUAAUUAAAAAUUAUGCAAUAUACAGAGUGUGCUAUUAUUAGA